ACUCCUACGGGAGGCAGCAGUGGGAAGUAUUGCACAAUGGCGGCAAGCUGAUGCAGCCAUGCCGCGUGUGUGAAGAAGGCCUUCGGGUUGUAAAGCACUUUCAGUCGUGAGGAAGGUGGUGUUGUUAAUAGCAGCAUCAUUUGACGUUAGCGACAGAAGAAGCACCGGCUAACUCCGUGCCAGCAGCCGCGGUAAUACGGAGGGUGCGAGCGUUAAUCGGAAUUACUGGGCGUAAAGCGCAUGCAGGUGGUUUGUUAAGUCAGAUGUGAAAGCCCGGGCUCAAGCCUCAGGCAAUAGACAUUUGAAACUGGCAAGCUAGAGUACUGUAGA
rnacentral:rRNA from 1 species